GGCAAUUCGGCAACUUCGGAACUUCGCCACUUUGGAACUUCGGCACUUCGGAACUUAGACACUUCGGAACUUCGGCAACUUCUGCAACUUUGGCAUUUCGGGACUUCUCUUGCAGCCGCUUUGUAGAUAACUCCCUAACUCCCACAGUAUUAGGGAGUUAUCUACCAAAAGGCUGAAAGACCUAAAUUGGUCUUUCAGCCAAAUUUUAGUAUUAGUAAAUUUUAGUAUUAGUAAAUUUUGGCAUGUCU